rnacentral:misc_RNA from 1 species
UACAGAGGUGGCUAGCGUUGUUCGGAUUCAUUGGGUGUAAAGGGUGCGUAGGCGGUUUGGAAAGUCGAAUGUGAAAUCCUAGAGCUUAACUCUAGAACUGCAUUUGAAACUUCCUUGCUAGAGUGCGAGAGAGGUGAAGGGAAUUCCCGGUGUAAGGGUGAAAUCUGCAGAGAUCGGGAGGAACACCAGUAGCGAAGGCGCUUCACUGGCUCGUAACUGACGCUGAGUGCACGAAGGCGUGGGGAGCAAACGGG